CCUACGGGGGGCAGCAGUGAGGAAUAUUGGUCAAUGGACGAGAGUCUGAACCAGCCAAGUAGCGUGAAGGAUGACUGCCAUAUGGGUUGUAAACUUCUUUUAUAUGGGAAUAAAACGUUCCACGUGUGGGAUUUUGUAUGUACCAUAUGAAUAAGGAUCGGCUAACUCCGUGCCAGCAGCCGCGGUAAUACGGAGGAUCCGAGCGUUAUCCGGAUUUAUUGGGUUUAAAGGGAGCGUAGGUGGAUUGUUAAGUCAGUUGUGAAAGUUUGCGGCUCAACCGUAAAAUUGCAGUUGAAACUGGCAGUCUUGAGUACAGUAGAGGUGGGCGGAAUUCGUGGUGUAGCGGUGAAAUGCUUAGAUAUCACGAAGAACUCCGAUUGCGAAGGCAGUUCACUGGACUGCAACUGACACUGAGGCUCGAAAGUGUGGGUAUCAAACAGGAUUAGAUACCCUGGUAGUC
rnacentral:rRNA from 1 species